rnacentral:lncRNA from 1 species
GCCCUGAGUCAGCAUCAGUUGGAGCUUUAGUUGAUCUGAAACACGGUGCUCAAUGGAGUUUUGGAAAAUUAAUCAGCUUCCCUUUGUGAAUGCUUGCAUUUCCACACUUUCAUUUUAUGAACUUUCACACCCGUCUGUGGGGUUUUGAGGUUUGCUUCAUUCAGACCCAUAUUGGAAAGGCCCGAAUUCCUGUCACAGCCAGGAUUUUCUCCAGCUCCAGGGAUUUGUUUGGUUUUGUGCCAUUUUAUCUCAAGUUUUAUUCCUUCCAUCUGAUUCAAAUAUUUUGUUACCGACUCAUAGUUCUUCUUAAGAAAAAGAAAAAAAAGAUAGAAAAGAAGAAGCAAAACAGCACCUCUUUUAAAACAGGAAAUCGCUCUGGUUUGAAUUUCCUGUCGGAAUUUGGGCAGGUUGGUUGGCAACUGGUGAUCUGGACACAUGUCAGAUUUCAGGAGCUUUUUACUCCAUCCGCUUGGUGGGAGAGGGACUCUGCAUCAUCGGCAGCAUUUUACAGCUUUGGACUAUUUCAUGGAGUUAUGAAAAUAGAGAGGAAAACAAAAUAAAACAGAAGUGAAUUCAUUCUACUCCUUGCCAAGUGAUCUGGUAGUUUUAGAGUCUGUGUGGUAUAGCUGUGGUUGUACGUGAAAGAGAAAACUUAAAAUAUCCUGUUUCACAGAAGAACAUGGCGUAUCACCUUCCAGACAAGAAUCCAGUGACUGCCUGGACUCCCAGCUGCAUUCCUGAACUUGUCUAAGGGUGUCGUAAACACGUUGAUGGGAUCCAAAGAUGCACAAAGAGAAGCUACAACGUUAUGAAAAAUUGUUGACAUCUUGGUUGCUCCAUACAACAUCAUACCAUGCUUUGUGAGAAAACAAUUAUUUUGACAAUGUUAGAGACUGGUCUAACCACCAAACCCACCAACUCCUUCCCUCUAUGCCUUCUAAAAUUGCUCCAACAAAGUGAAAAAAAAUACCCAACUAACACAAUAUUCCAGGAUGGUGGAAAAUCAAAUACUAAAGGGUAGAGGGGAUGCUAUAAAGUACAUAUGUGAGCUUUCAGUUUGAUCGAGCUUAUAACACAUGCUGUGUGUAUAAAUUCACGAUUUGAACCUAUAAACCGGAGAUCUGGCAUUCUGAGUUGGUUCUGGGAAAUUGCAUAGACUUAUGUGAGCCAAUGCCUGCUACCAAGUAUUUUUUUUUCUUAACUCUUUAAUUUGAGGGUUUUUACUUGAUUUUGAGGAUUAUCUUAAACUUCCUUGGAUAAUUCUAUUAUCAUUCCUCCAUUUCUUUUCGCAAUGCUUUUCAAGGAAAGUUUAAGUUAUAUCAACUAGAAACAUGUUGCUUCGGUUUGAUCUGUGCUUGGUAUUUCUCUUUAGACAGAUGUGGCAAAGUUUUGGUGCUUAUAAAUAUUUUCCUUUUAGGGGAAGGGAUUGGAUUUAUGGUGCAGAAUUCCAUCAAUCUAUAUUAGGACAAAGUAUCUGGGAGAUGCUAUGUAGUGUACCUGUUCACUGGAAGAAUUUCUUUAUGUUUAUGUGCCCAAUUAGAUGUAAUUUGUAAUAAAAUGGGCUUCUUCCAGAAAUCA